rnacentral:tRNA from 1 species
GCGGGUAUGGCGUAAUUGGCAGCCGCGCCAGACUUAGGAUCUGGUGGAGUAAUCCGUGGGGGUUCGAGUCCCUUUACCCGCA